rnacentral:rRNA from 1 species
CAGUCGCCGCGGUAAUACGUAGGGUGCGAGCGUUAAUCGGAAUUACUGGGCGUAAAGCGUGCGCAGGCGGUUAUAUAAGACAGAUGUGAAAUCCCCGGGCUCAACCUGGGACCUGCAUUUGUGACUGUAUAGCUAGAGUACGGUAGAGGGGGAUGGAAUUCCGCGUGUAGCAGUGAAAUGCGUAGAUAUGCGGAGGAACACCGAUGGCGAAGGCAGCCCCCUGGGAUAACACUGACGCUCAUGCACGAAAGCGUGGGGAGCAAACAGGAUUAGAUACCCGCGUAGUCCCUGUCUCUUAUAA